rnacentral:rRNA from 1 species
AUACGGAGGGUGCAAGCGUUAUUCGGAAUCACUGGGCGUAAAGGACGCGUAGGCGGGUUGGCAAGUCAGAUGUGAAAUCCUACAGCUUAACUGUAGAACUGCAUUUGAAACUGCUAACCUAGAGUAUGGGAGGGGGAGAUGGAAUUAGUGGUGUAGGGGUAAAAUCCGUAGAUAUCACUAGGAAUACCGAAAGCGAAGGCGAUCUCCUGGAACAUAACUGACGCUAAGGCGUGAAAGCAUGGGGAGCAAACAGGAUUAGAAACCCUAGUAGUCC